UUAAGAUCUAAUUUGGCUCAGUGGUUCGAGCCCAGGUCAAUAGACUAAUCUGAUCAAUUUUAAUAAAUCAAUUUGGUGUUUAAGGCAAGUACAUAGAUGGUGGUUAUUUAAUUGAUUCUAUUGUCUGAUCUGACCAAUUCGUUGGUAUCUAAGAAGAGCAAUAGGGAGAUCCCACCCCCACUCAUCUUAAUUUAUCUGACCAUUUUGAGAGAUUAUGUUUUGUAUUUGGUUACUUGUUGGCUCGAGCUAGCCCAUGCC
rnacentral:lncRNA from 1 species